AGAAUCAACGCUGGCGGCGUGCCUAACACAUGCAAGUCGCACGAGAAAGGGACUUCGGUCCUGAGUACAGUGGCGCACGGGUGAGUAACACGUGAAUAAUCUACCUCCGAGUGGGGAAUAACUGAGAGAAAUCUUAGCUAAUACCGCAUAACACUUACGAGUCAAAGCAGCAAUGCGCUUGGAGAGGAGUUCGCGGCAGAUUAGUUAGUGGCGGGGUAAUGGCCCACAAGACGAUGAUCUGUA
rnacentral:rRNA from 1 species